CUUGAACCCCUGCCUCUGCCUUAGAUUUGCAGUGAAGUUCGAACACCUGCUGUUGCCACUGCCACUGGCCACUGCCACGUGAAUCUGAAUUGCAGAUAUUAAAUUGAAGGCGCAAGGCUAAUCAAUUAAGAGUUCCAAGCUUGAAGAAAAGGAGCAUACAAUGGUUCCAAAUUUGGAGGAAGAAGAGUUCAAGAAAUAGGAACUUAUUGAAGAAGGUUUAGAAUAUUUAUAUUUCAUAUUUGUGAGCUCAAGUAUUUCUAAUCCUUUCCUCCAUAUCUUUGAUAUACCUAUUAUUUCUCAUCCUCCACACAAAUGGUUUUUAUAAAAGAGUCAAAAUAUUUUUUGAGUCAAAAGUUACAAAAAAAUUUAAAUCAUUGUUUUAAAAUGAUUUCCUUCAUUUGGUUUAAAAAAUGUUUUCAAUAUCUUUAUUUAGUCAAAGUGAUUUCCAAAGUUGAGGUUUCCAAAAGGGUUAGUGUUUAGUGUUCAAAGGUUCCGGUGCAACUAUACAGUAAGAGGCAGUGGCUAGGUCUUGACUGGGUACCCCACUCUAACCUCACCCUGGAAGGCUGAGAUCAAGCCUCUUAAUAGACAGUGACUGGAUCCUGGCAGCGUGUCCACCCACCAUGACCCAUCCAUGGUAGUGCAGGAAUUUAAAAAAACUAGCCUUUUUUUAACAGUUGAACUCCAUCUUUAUAUCUACAUUACUCCUAUAUCAGCUAUAGAAAUGGAGAUCUAAUCCCCCACCAAUCUCAAACCUUCCAAACUUCAUUUUAACACAUUUCCAUAAAGGAUUUGAGCUAAGAAAACCAUGUUCUUCACCUUUACCCGUACCACAAAGGUUUUCUUCAUUCAUACUUGAAGCUAUGAUCUUAUAACCUUUUCUAUCUUUCCAAAGCUUCUAGUAUUCGUACUUAGAAAGAUGUUCCUACUCUUUUUACAUCCUAAAACCUUUCUAAGUUCAAGAUUGAGUAUUAAACUAUUAAUUGAGCUCCAAAAUGUAAUAUCUUUAUUCUCAAUCUUCUAGAGCCAAAAUGUAUACACCAUUAGUCUAUCAUGGAAAUAUGUACAAAGUAUAUGAAAUUAUGCCAUCUUUCAAAUGGUGUAAACACUUGGGUGUGUAAGAGACGGGUUGUCUCAAUACCAAGUGUGGCUAUGGUGACAUAGAAGCAACCUUGGCAACAAAAGGGUGAAUUUGUUGUACCAUAGUUACGAAGGGAUGAAGGUCAUAGAAGUGCUAUUGUGGUAUAUGGUGCACAAGUGACCCAAAAGAAAAGGGGUCGGUGUCUUGUAUCACCCGAUGCUACGAAUCCUACGAUGGGUUGAUAUUUGUUGAAAUGCUAUCAUUGAGGUGAGAAGUGCAAACCCACAAGGAAGGGUGUUCGUCGAGGAUGGUAACAGUGCCCACCAAAGAACAAGCAACCCAGAAAGUGGAGUUGGAAAUCCUAGGGGAGGGGGAGGUGUCCUUAGGUAGUGGAGUAGGGAUUGUCGAACUACUAAAAAUUCGGUGUUGUUCUUUCCCUUUCUCCUUUAAAUUUAUGCAUACUUGCAAUAUUAUUUUCCCUCA